AUUGAACGCUGGCGGCAUGCCUUACACAUGCAAGUCGAACGGCAGCACGGGGCAACCUGGUGGCGAGUGGCGAACGGGUGAGUAAUAUAUCGGAACGUACCCUAGAGUGGGGGAUAACGUAGCGAAAGUUACGCUAAUACCGCAUACGAUCUACGGAUGAAAGCGGGGGAUUCGCAAGAACCUCGCGCUCAUGGAGCGGCCGAUAUCUGAUUAGCUAGUUGGCGGGGUAAAAGCCCACCAAGGCGACGAUCUGUAGCGGGUCUGAGAGGAUGAUCCGCCACACUGGAACUGAGACACGGUCCAGACUCCUACGGGAGGC
rnacentral:rRNA from 1 species